AUUGAACGCUGGAGGCCGGCCUAACACAUGCAAGUCGAGAGAAGCGGCGGACGGGUGAGUAAUGCCUAGUAAUCUGCCUGGUGGUGGGGGAUAACGUCCGGAAACGGGCGCUAAUAACGCAUACUAGCAGAUGAGCCACGGUCGGAUUAGCUAGUUGGUGGGGUAAAGGCCUACCAAGGCGACGAUCCGUAACUGGUCUGAGAGGAUGAUCAGUCACACUGGAACUGAGACACGUGCCAGACUCCUACGGGAGGCAGCAGUGGGGAAUAGUGGACAAUGGGCGAAAGCCUGAACCAGCCACGCCGCGUGUGUGAAGAAGGUCUUCGGAUUGUAAAGCACUUUAAGUUGGGAGGCGUUACCAACAGAAUAAGCACCGGCUAACUUCGUGCCAGCAGCCGCGGUAAUUC
rnacentral:rRNA from 1 species